rnacentral:lncRNA from 10 species
GUUAAAAUCAGAAGAUUGCUCUUUAGCUUCUACUCUCUCCUGAAAGCUCACUAAAGUACAGUUGCUGGCAGAGGUGGUUGGGGCUAUGUGCCUGGAGUGAAGAUUCUGCCCAUUGGUCAAGAGACCUCCCUCUCAGAUGCUGGCUCUGCCCCUGCCUUUGGGGGUCGACCCUUGUACUCGCAGGACCUUAGGUGACUCUUCAUAUCCAUUGGAUUCUAAGUGACAGAUACUAUUCCAUCAGGAUAAAGCACACCUCCCUUUGUCCACACAGCCCCUAGAAGCAGGCAGUACAGAGCACAGCAGCUACUUAUCCCCACCUUACAGAUGAGAUGACUGAGAAGGGAGAACCAGCACUGCAAAAUCCUAGACUCCUGACUUGGAGUUCAGUACUCUUUGAUUCUACUUCUCUGAUCAUCCAGGAAGCCAACCUGCCUGAGGACGAGUCAUACUCUGUCCUCCCACCCCAGGCCAGAGAGUGGUAUCUGUCUUUCCACAAGUUUCAAUUUCCUCGGACUGUGAUUCCUGGGUUAAACUUAGUAGCAGCCUGGAGCAGAGGAAAAGGAUGAACUCAGGGCACUGGUUGGAUUCCUGCUGCCAGACGCUAGUUGCCUUGUUCCCAAAGGUUAAAUGGCUCUGCUGGGUUAUCCAAACAUAUUUACAGCUAGAACAUUGCAACACUGGGGUUGUUAACCUGCUCAUUUGCAUUUGAAAAUCACGUGGCAGCACAGUGCAUAUUUCC